UACGGAAUGUGCAAACGUUAUUCGGAAUCACUGGGCUUAAAGAGUCCGUAGGCGGCAUGUUAGGUAAGGUGUGAAAUCCCCCGGCUCAACCGAGGAAUUGCGCUUCAAACCGGCGUGCUAGAGGAAGAUAGAGGUGGGCGGAACUGAUGGUGGAGCGGUGAAAUGCGUUGAUAUCAUCAGGAACACCGGAGGCGAAAGCGGCCCACUGGGUCUUAUCUGACGCUGAGGGACGAAAGCUAGGGGAGCGAACGGG
rnacentral:rRNA from 1 species